GCGCCCCCUGGCGGCGGCGCGCAGGGACCGCCCCCAGCCCGGCGCCGCCGCUGCCCGCCUCGGCCCAACAUGGCGAUGCACAACAAGGCAGCGCCACCGCAGAUCCCGGACACCCGGCGGGAGCUGGCGGAGCUCGUGAAGCGGAAGCAGGAGCUGGCGGAAACGCUGGCAAACUUGGAGAGACAGAUCUAUGCUUUUGAAGGAAGCUACCUAGAAGACACCCAGAUGUAUGGCAAUAUCAUUCGUGGCUGGGAUAGGUAUCUGACCAACCAAAAAAACUCCAAUAGCAAAAACGACCGAAGGAACCGGAAGUUUAAGGAAGCUGAGCGGCUCUUCAGUAAAUCUUCAGUUACGUCCGCAGCUGCAGUAAGUGCAUUGGCAGGAGUUCAGGACCAGCUCAUUGAAAAGAGAAGGUUGAUGUUAGCUGCUCAAAGACAGAAAGGGGAACCAGGAAGUGGGACGGAAAGCGAUACUUCUCCAGACUUCCACAAUCAGGAAAAUGAGCCCACCCAGGAGGACCCUGAGGAUCUGGACGGAUCUGUGCAGGGAGUGAAACCCCAGAAGGCUGCUUCCACUUCCUCAGGGAGCCAUCACAGCAGCCAUAAAAAACGAAAGAAUAAAAACCGACACAGCCCGUCUGGCAUGUUUGAUUAUGACUUUGAGUAUGUAUAUUAGGUUAGGCUGGGAAGUUUUUUUUAAAAACAGAAAAACGUGAUGGAGGAUUGAUCUGAAGUUAAACAAAAAACCACGAGCUGACUAUUAGAAGACGCAUUAAUGCAGCAGCUUCCAGGCUGUAGAGCCCUGCUUCCCUCCUCCGGCCUCACAAAGAUAAACAUCCCUUGCCUGAGUGCGUGGCCGUCCACCUCUGCUUUCCCAGACCUGGUGCCUGUGACUCUGAGUCGCUUGUUCUGAAAUGUGGUGACAAGUCAUUUCUGUAAGACCACAUUGGAUCAUUUACUUUGUGUCAUUCUUAGUAACAGAACUGCAGGAAGACCAAGACCUGGUUGUAAUCCCAGCAAGUUGCUAACUGAAUCCCUUCUUGGAACGAAUAUUUCCCCCUAACCUGGCCGGCACCAGCUUCAUCUGUGAGAGCCACUGAGAAAUGGCCUGUGCUUUUAUUUUACGCUGAAAGUAGAGCACUGAUCACAUUUCAUGGGAGGCUGUAAAUACCUGUCAUUUUCUUAUUUUGUUUGUGUUUCAUUAUUUUUCUAUUGUUGUUUUUACCAUCUUAUUUCUUUUGGGGCUUUUUGUAAUGACUUUGUACAGCUCAUACCUUCCGGCUGACAUAUCUAAUAAUCUGUUUCACGGAGUUGCCAAUGUUCUUAAACUGAAAGUGACCUGGUUUACCAUAAACAAAAUGGGGAACUUGGCUCUUCGGUUUUUCACAGGGGAAAGUUAAAGAGUGUUUAUUUAAUAAUUACAUAUCUUAACUCUUUCUGAGUUGGGAGUAGUUUCAUGUUCAAGGAAUAGGAAAAGCUGAAAAACAUAAGUUUAAAUCAGUCCUUUUAAAAAUAUUUUUAUUCUUUUUGUAUAAAUAAAAAUCCACAGGAUUUGACUUCUCAUGCUUUACUUUUAAACCUGAGAUUUUUUUUCACUUAUUUAUUCAUAUCAUGCCUUAUGGAAAUUUCUUUUUCCACCUUUCUCUCUUUGCUGGUAUUUGUCUGAUUAAAUAGUGCUUGAAAAAUCACUAAGGCAUAUGAAAAGGCUCAAAAUUGUACUCAAAGCUGAUACCACACAGAGUUCUUGAGCAGAGUGAGAGAUAGGAUCAACAAGAGCCAGUAUCGCCCAACAGAUCCCCCUUCUCAGGGGGGUGAUGAGCCCAGGAACUUGCUGAUCAUCGUUACUGGUCGUUGUUGCCCGUGGAGCAGUUGUGAUCUACCUUGGCUGCACUUUGGAAUCACCUGGGAAGCUUAAAAAAAUACUCAUGCCUGGAUCUCACCCCAGAGAUUCUGGGCCAGGGUACAGUCUGGAAUGGGAUCUCUCUUCUGAGAGUCCCUGGGUUCUGAUAGGAAGCCAAUUAAGAACCACUGUGUUAGACGGGAUGAUGCGACUUAAAUCCUGUGUUGUGACUCAGUCUAAGCAGGGAUGAGACUUGGGGGCCUCCCCUUCCCUUGGACUGUAUUUAGUCAUAGUCCUUUACUUAUGCCUGUAUCUUUGUUAGAAAAAAUAUGUUCCAUGUGUGAUCAUAUUGGUAGAGCUGAAUGUGGGUGAUGCUGAUUAUCAGAACAAUUCUACUCUGUCAGAUGUACAAAAGCUUUCACUCUUGUUCUCAAUAAACCUUUCUUUCCUUUUUUUUUUUUUUGACCCUGUGGCUAUUUAGAUGUCUUUGGCUAUGUCUUUGGUAGCAGAACUCUAAUGUCAGGGUAUUUAAGGAAAUAGUUUCUUAUAUGUAGAUUGUUCCUUUAAAAAAAAAAAAAAGAAAAACUAAAAACAGUGGAAACCAG